AGCCGAAACACCCCUUGCGGGGUGUCUGCCGGAAUUAGCCAACCGGCACUGAUGAUGGCAGGCUGAA
rnacentral:hammerhead_ribozyme from 1 species